UGGGGAAUAUUGCACAAUGGGCGCAAGCCUGAUGCAGCCAUGCCGCGUGUAUGAAGAAGGCCUUCGGGUUGUAAAGUACUUUCAGCGGGGAGGAAGGGAGUAAAGUUAAUACCUUCGCUCAUUGACGUUACCCGCAGAAGAAGCACCGGCUAACUCCGUGCCAGCAGCCGCGGUAAUACGGAGGGUGCAAGCGUUAAUCGGAAUUACUGGGCGUAAAGCGCACGCAGGCGGUUUGUUAAGUCAGAUGUGAAAUCCCCGGGCUCAACCUGGGAACUGCAUUCGAAACUGGCAGGCUAGAGUCUUGUAGAGGGGGGUAGAAUUCCAGGUGUAGCGGUGAAAUGCGUAGAGAUCUGGAGGAAUACCGGUGGCGAAGGCGGCCCCCUGGACGAAGACUGACGCUCAGGUGCGAAAGCGUGGGGAGCAAACAGG
rnacentral:rRNA from 1 species